UGGAAGAAGAGCAGACCGUCACCUGCAGGCAGCAGUUGUGUGAUGGAGUGGGGUCAAUCCCUGACGUGCAGCCGAAGAGGAGGUGUCUGCUGACCCGGACGGAUCCCAACUGCAGUCAAGUAGAGAAGAGGAGGAUGCACAGCAAACAGCAGAGCCCAGCAGAGCCCAGCAGAAGUCCAGGAUCCAAUUCCGCAACCAGGAAGCCUAAUAGAGAAGCUUUUUGAAUUUAUUUCCUUCUGUCUCUUCUUCUCUUCUCUGUCUCCUAAACACUUCCCCUAAUCUAACAUAACUAACCAUCCCCCCCUUCCCCUCAAUCCCCCUUUAUGCCCUUUCCUGAUCUAACUGUCUUCAUCUGCUAACUUGUUUUUCAACUUAUUUUGUUGUGAAUUUCUGUGCUUUGUUUCACUGUUUUGAAUUUUUACUAAUCUCUUCUCAGUUGUAUAUUUUCAGGGACCCGGACGAGGGACGACGCCGAAGCAGCCAGCCGCCCAGCCCACAGACGGAGACGACCCCAUUGCC